GAUGAACGCUGGCGGCGUGCCUAAUACAUGCAAGUCGAGCGAACGGACGAGAAGCUUGCUUCUCUGAUGUUAGCGGCGGACGGGUGAGUAACACGUGGAUAACCUACCUAUAAGACUGGGAUAACUUCGGGAAACCGGAGCUAAUACCGGAUAAUAUUUUGAACCGCAUGGUUCAAAAGUGAAAGACGGUCUUGCUGUCACUUAUAGAUGGAUCUGCGCUGCAUUAGUUAGUUGGUAAGGUAACGGCUUACCAAGGCAACGAUGCAUAGCCGACCUGAGAGGGGGAUCGGCGACACUGGAACGGGGACACGGUCCAGACUACUACGGGAGGAAGCAGUAGGGAAUCUUCCGCAAUGGGCGAAAGCGUGACGGAGCAACGCCGCGGGAGUGAUGAAGGUAUUCGGAUCGUAAAACUCUGUUAUUAGGGAAGAACAUAUGUGUAAGUAACUGUGCACAAAAUGACGGUACCUAAUCAGAAAGCCACGGCUAACUACGUG
rnacentral:rRNA from 1 species